UACGUAGGGGGCUAGCGUUGUCCGGAAUCAUUGGGCGUAAAGAGCGUGUAGGCGGUCCGGUAAGUCGGCUGUGAAAGUCCAAGGCUCAACCUUGGGAUGCCGGUCGAUACUGCCGGACUAGAGUUCGGAAGAGGCGAGUGGAAUUCCCGGUGUAGCGGUGAAAUGCGCAGAUAUCGGGAGGAACACCUAUGGCGAAGGCAGCUCGCUGGGACGUUACUGACGCUGAGACGCGAAAGCGUGGGGAGCAAACAGG
rnacentral:rRNA from 1 species